CAUGAAGCUGGAAUCGCUAGUAAUCGCGAAUCAGAAUGUCGCGGUGAAUACGUUCCCGGGUCUUGUACACACCGCCCGUCACACCAUGGGAGUUGGGAAUGCCCGAAGCCGGUGACCUAACCGAAAGGGAGGAGCCGUCGAAGGCAGGCUUGAUAACUGGGGUGAAGUCGUAACAAGGUACC
rnacentral:rRNA from 1 species